CACUGCAGACGAACACCAACAGCCUGAAAAAAAACGACUACGCACAACAACCCGCCAAAAUCAACACUGCCCCAAGCACCACUCACAGACACCGAAAAUGCACCACAAACCUCUUCAACCUCACCACAACCAGACAGACACACGCACAACAACUUCACAACCCCAAAAUCUAUCAAAUAACACCAAAACAACUAAACAGGCCUUUACGACUCUCGUAACAGACUUCCACUGACUUCCUACAGAGCGCCAAAACAGACAUGCUUCCGACCGCCAUUUAACCACUCCCAUUCAUUCUUCCACCAACCUCUCUCUCUCUCUCUCUCACACACACACAUAACCUUUGGAGAUGUUGUCAAAUAUAAACUAUCAUUACUCCUCCAUAGAAUGUUCCACUCAAACUUUGAGGUUCCAAUCAAAGUUUUGGAGGUUCAAAUUGAACUUUAUAAGGUUUCAGUCAAACUUUGAGGUUCUACGUAAUUGAACCUUUGAAGGUGCAAAUUGAACUUUUGAUGGUUCUAGUAAUUGAACUUUUUAAAGUUCUAAUUGAACAUACUUUUGAAGGUCUCAGUAGAACUUUGAGGUUCUGAUUGAACUUUUUCAGGUUCAAAAUGGAAAUUUUUAAUGUUCUAAGUCUAGUGUUAUGAGUAAGGCUUUUAUGAACAGUAGGGCAUGUCAGACUUUUCCGCAUAUCAGAUUUUGGAAGCCUCAAAGGUUCUUUAUCCAUUGUAUCUAGACUUAUUGACGCAGAACCAAAAAUGAUAGAUUGUGAUUCUAAUCCUGGGUAAGACAUGACCUAAAAGCCCAUGCACUUCUCAAUAUUCCAGGUUCAUGUUGAAAGGCUGUAUGUAAUCAAUGAGCUACACUAUGUAUCAAAUUGGUAGUUUGCAUGCCCCAAUUAUUGAGGGCACUUUACAUAUGCACUAUCAUGCUUUGGAAAGUAUACUAUUGGAGGCUCAUUUUUUAGGCACCUGGAAUGAAACUAUAUAUCCUCACUGAAGUGUUUUGAAGUUUAUUACGAAGGGAGCGUAAUGCCUGUUUAUCAUCACAUUUAUCUCUAAUUUCUUCAUUUAUAAACAGCAGAUCUCUUUGCAUGUGUCAAGAUACACUCUUAUGUGAAGCAAUUUACUGAAUGCUUCUUGCUUUUUGCCUUGUACCCAUUGUUCUCUCUGACAACGUUUUUCUGUCCUUUUAGUAUUUGUGUGAGUGUUAUGCACGAGUCUACAGUGUGAUUUCCAACAUUCUUUGUGAUAAAAGAUGUCGAGAGCAGCAGCUUUAAGUAUUACCUCCAUUACUAUUGCAAUAAAUUGCUAAGGCUUCCAACAACGUUUUUUUCAGCUCAUCUUUAACAAGAGGAAUAGCCUCUACAAAUGUCACCCUAGAAUAUUUCUGGAAGUCUUUCCUUUCAAUUCCUUUUGACAGACAACACAGGAAAACUCUGAAGCUUUACAAGAUAUAUGACUGCUCCUAAAAUUUGAAGAUAGUUUCUUCAGUGCUCUCAGUAUCCUGCGGCUCAUCAGUUCUACAUUUGUUCUAAAAGAGUGGUAAAGGGAUGGCUUAUGUUUUGACUUGGAAUGUGGAUAGCUACUGCAAGGAAAUGGAGUUUGGAAUCGUUUAUGCCUAGGAGACUUGUGUUCCAUCCUUUUCAUAAGUUUAGGCCAAGGAGAUGUUUUCCAUCCACAUUUUUAUAGGUCUAAUUCUAGGAGACUUGCUCCAUGUCUGUUUUGAGAGUGCUGCCAUACAGCCUGGAGGGAAGUUGGAGAACUUUUACUCUGAAUUGAUGGAGACAGACAAAGCGAAGGAUGCGACAGGGCAGGCACAAGACUCAGCAUCUACAAAGGACUUGCAUAUAGGACUACAGUUUGAAAAGCAUGCUAGUAACAUCUAAUGAUAUAGUUCAUUUAUAGGACUAGCUCCUAUUGUAUGACAAACCUUCAUCUUAGGGUUUUUUAAAGUACUACUAACUUUGAGUCUGUUUAGAAAUACGUAUAUAGGAUAACUUUGAGUGUUUAAAAAUAUAUGGAUAUCAGGAAAUUAAAUCAGUUAGUUCAUUUAAGAACAACUGUCAAAAUGGGAAAAUGGGUAAAAAAAGUAUUAAGGUAAUAUUUUAUAUAGGGAUUUUAUUGCCACAAAUGUUUACAAGCAAGCCAGCCUCACACCAUGUACGGCCUGAUUGGAGCUGCAGCAGCAGCAGAAAAAAAAAAAUAAAAAAAAUUUAGGUGUCUAGAAAUUUUCUGAAAAUUUGCAUUGCCCUGGAUGACCUGAUACUAAAUAAUAUUUCUUCUUCAUCCUAAAACCACCACCUGUUGUUCCCUGUAGAAAAUAAAAAGAAAAAUUAAAUUGCUGGUUGCAAGUAGGAAAUUUAGUAACUUUGUCUUAUUUUCAUUAGAUGCAUAUAAAAAGUAAUAAAAUCUUAUUAGAAGUGCCAGUUAUGAAAUAAAUUUCAGUAUAUUUUUCUUAAAAGACAUUUUUUUCCAAGUACUACUCAGUUAAACCAGUAUAAGUACAACCAAGUUCAUAGUUGAGAAAUAUAUAAAACCUGUUCCUAUGCAUUGAUGUUAAAAUCUUACAUAUAUUACUUACUUUUGACUUGAAAGCUCUUGAAUAAUGAAGGCAUACUUGGAUUACUGCCAUCCUCAUGAGGUAUGACACUAGGAGCCCUAUUUAGGCUCAGUCAAUCAGAGGUUUUGUAAGUCCCUUAACAUAUUAAAAAUCUAAGACUUUAACAUUAAUCAGUGCACAGGAAAGGGUCUUAAAUUAUCCUCAGUUCAAAUUCUACAAGCAUAAAGCCACAUCACAAUACUGGCAUAACUCACUUUGUAGAAUUACAUUACUUCUGAAGGAAGCAUUCAGUGUCUAAAGAUUAAAUAGUCUAAACUGAAUGUAAGUCAUCUUUUAAACAAAUGAGAUUUCAAUUAACAAUCACCUGAAAGUGUCAUCAAAGUGGCUAGUAUAACAUGUCAUACGCCUACUGGCACCGAUGUCAUUCUCGGCUUCACGUGGAGGCUGGCAUGACGUCAUAUAGGUCUUCUGGAACUGGUGUGAUUCCCAGCUUCACAGAAGAGAAUGGGCAUGGUAUCAAAUAGGCCUACUGUUAUUGAUGUGUAAUUCUCAGCUUCAUACAAAUGGCUGGCAGGACAUCAUAUAGACCUACUGUCACAGAGUUCAUCCUUGGCUUCCACAAACAGGCUACCAUAACAUCAUAUAGGCCUUCUGGUACUGAUGUGUAAUUCUCAGCUUCACAGAAAGGCAGGCAUAAGGUCAUGCAGGCCUACUGUCCCAUGUAAGGCUCUGCUUCACAAAGGCUGGCAUGACGUCACAUAGACCUACAGGCACUUGUGGAAUUCUCUGCUUCAGAAACAA